CGUCCUCUAUCUGCUGCGGGCAGAUGAAAUGGAUAUGCGCAUCCAUGCCGCCUGCGGUCAGGAUCUUGCCCUCGCCCGCGAUCACUUCGGUGCCCGGCCCGAUCACGAUGGUCACACCCGGUUGCGUGUCGGGGUUGCCUGCUUUGCCGAUGGCGGCAAUCAGCCCAUCACGCAGGCCCACAUCUGCCUUGUAUAUGCCGGAAUGGUCCACGAUCAGCGCAUUGGUAAUAACCGUAUCCACCGCCCCUUGGGCGCGAGUGCGCUGGCUUUGGCCCAUCCCGUCGCGGAUA
rnacentral:sRNA from 1 species